AAUUUGGCUAAUCAGCAAAACUAAAUUCUAAUCCCGCCAUGCACCGAAAAAAUUCUAGACUGAAAUAAUACAGUCUGUGGUUUUCCGGUGCCUUGUGAGAUUAGAGUUUUAUCUUGUGAAUUUGCUUAAGGAGUU
rnacentral:pre_miRNA from 1 species